rnacentral:rRNA from 1 species
CCUACGGGAGGCAGCAGUGGGGAAUAUUGGGCAAUGGGCGCAAGCCUGACCCAGCAACGCCGCGUGAAGGUCAGUGCCCUAUGGGCGUUAAACUUCUUUUGUGCGGGAGCAAUAAUGGUCACGUGUGGCCAGACGAGAGUACCGUACGAAUAAGCAUCGGCUAACUCCGUGCCAGCAGCCGCGGUAAUACGGGGGAUGCAAUCGUUAUCCGGUUUUAUUGGGUUUAAAGGGUGCGUAGGCUGUGAGGUAAGUCAGCGGUGAAAUGCCCCCGCUCAACGGGGUGACGUGCCAUUGAAACUGACUUGCUGGAAUGCGGAUGCCGUGGGAGGAAUGUGUGGUGUAGCGGUGAAAUGCAUAGAUAUCACACAGAACACCGAUUGCGAAGGCAUCUCACGAAUCCGCGAUUGACGCUGAUGCACGAAAGCGUGGGUAUCAAACAGGAUUAGAUACCCGAGUAGUC